UCCCUCUUGGCUCAGUUGGUAAAGGAUCUGCCUGCAGUGCAGGAGACCUGGGUUCAAUUCCUGGGUUGGGAA
rnacentral:tRNA from 1 species